CUCUCGGCAACGGAUAUCUCGGCUCUCGCAUCGAUGAAGAACGUAGCGAAAUGCGAUACUUGGUGUGAAUUGCAGAAUCCCGUGAACCAUCGAGUCUUUGAACGCAAGUUGCGCCCGAAGCCAUUAGGUUGAGGGCACGUCUGCCUGGGCGUCACGCAUCGCGU
rnacentral:rRNA from 1 species